UAACCUACCUAUAAGACUGGGAUAACUUCGGGAAACCGGAGNCUAAUACCGAUAAUAUUUCGAACCGCAUGGUUCGAUAGUGAAAGGUGGUUUUGCUAUCACUUAUAGAUGGACCCGCGCCGUAUUAGCUAGUUGGUAAGGUAACGGCUUACCAAGGCGACGAUACGUAGCCGACCUGAGAGGGUGAUCGGCCACACUGGAACUGAGACACGGGUCCAGACUCCUACGGGAGGCAGCAGGC
rnacentral:rRNA from 1 species